UCAGACGUCAUUUUAAUGACGUCAUCAUUUCAGCGUUUGGAAGAUAACAUUUUUAAAUGUGAAGAGUUUCUUUGUGACACAAAAACAAUGAGCUUAACUGGUGCAGCAGCCAUACUGUUUGCCUUCUUGCUUACCGUGAAGCGCAUUACAGCAACAUCCCUGGACUGCGUGGAACCCGGAAUCGAAGGGCAGGUAUCGAUAAUAAAGUGCAAACUACCACAUCCUGUUCGGUAUGGAGUGCGGGUUUUUCGACCAGAUUCUGUGCUAGUCGUCAAUUGUAACGAUGAUAGCACUCAGUGUGCCACUCUGGACGCGUUCAUGGACAAUUACACCCUGAUGUUUGAUUCACGAAGAAGAAUGUCUUUAUGUACUUUGGUGAUAGAGUCGUUCGAUCCAGAAGUUGACGCUGGAGACUGGACCUUCAGUUAUGGGUUCAUUUGGGGAAAGCAUUCACGACAUUCCUGUAAGAAGACCGCAGCACGUAAAGCCACAACGUGCCUUGACUGUAUGGAAACCGGAAUGGAAGGCCUGAGGACGGAACUAAAGUGUAAAAUAACUGGAACUGUUGGGCAUGGAAUAAAGUGGUUUCGACCAGGUGGUGUGCUAGUCGUCAGUUGUAACUAUAAAAAUACUGAGUGUAUGACUGAUGAGGAAUUCAUUGGCAAGUACACCAGUGUGAUUAAUUCGCUAACACAACAUACUUUAGUAAUAGACUCGUUCAAUUCGAAAGUUGACAGCGGUAAAUGGAUAUGCAACGAUGGAUCCAUUCUCAGAGAUGAAACACCACAAUCCUGUAAGAUGGUCACUGGUAGCACAAUAUCCAUGUACUGUUUGGAACCUGGAAUUGUAGGGCUAAGAUCAGUAAUAAAGUGUGUUCUAAAUGGAAAUCUACAUUCAGAAAUAAGGUUUAUUCAGUCCGGAUGAUAAACGUGGUCGUCAUGUGUAAUGAUACAAAGUGUCUCACGGCAGACAAAUUCAAAAUGCAUGACCAGUAUUUCGGUGUUGUUGAUUCUCCUUCGCAACGUAAAAUGAUAAUACAGUUCUUCGACCCAAUCACUGACGCUGGCGAAUGGAAAUGCAUGGAUAGCUGGCUUUAUGGAGCUUCGUGUGAGAAAAUCGUUGCAGCUACUGCCGAAGGAAAGGAUGCUUCUGCCGAAGGAAAUGAUGGUGCCAGUGUCCAUGUAGCAUCAACUUAUAUGGUUAUCUUCUGGACCGUUGCAGGACUGACCGCAAACUUGCAGAGGACUAUCUCCUUUUUCUUCAACUAACUCAGCUCUGAAGACAUCGUUCAUUUUAACAUAUUUUAAAAACCUACCCAAGCAUGUUUAUAGUGGAAACAUAACACUUUUUUUUAUAGCCUGACCAUAAGUCAGCUGAACAUGAUCGCCAUGGUCUUUUACUAAUUCACAUGCUAGAGACAAGAUUCAGAAAACAGAGAGAGAGAGAGAGAGAGAGAGAGAGAGAGAGAGAGAGAGAGAGAGAGAGAGAGAGAGAGAGAGAGAGAGAGAGAGAGAGAGAGAGAGAGAGAGAGAGAGAGAGAGAGAGAGAGCAUGAAGCCCGACAUUGUACACACCUGGACCCAUAUUCACAAAAAAGUGUAAAUUUACGUCUACGACUAGCACUUACGUGUGCCGUAGAUUUACGUUUACGUGCAAGAAGCACCUUAUUCUCAAAGAUGGUUGUAAAUAUACACGUAAC
rnacentral:misc_RNA from 1 species